GAGAUGUUUGGAGGAAGCAAAAUGAACGUACCGCUGCUCCCUCUCCACCGUCACACCUCUGAAGUUCAGCUAUGGCAGAAAGAAAUGCAGUCACACAAAGCUUUGGCCCCAUCAGCAUUGAUGACACAAAUACUUUGCAAGCUGAGGGCAAUCCAUUCACAGCCUGACACUGGUAACACCAGGACAGUGAGCAAAGGCAAGGAGCUGAAGAGAUUGCUCAACUGUUGACUUUUCUCUGAAAGGCUUGCAGGUUGUAUCACAUAUGACGCGUUUCUUUUUCUUACAUCAGGUACCAACAUGGAGCCCAAAGGUUGCUGAAGUUCCCAGCUGAAUUUCAGGUGAUUGAGUAAUGACUCAAUCCUGUUCGUAAAGCGGCCACCACAUCGUGCAAAGCAGAUGGAGUUACAGAGCUGGUUCAUGGAAAGGAAAAGACAUGGGUUCUGCAUAUUGAGAAAGCUGUGGCUAGGCUCACAUGAGUCAUGGUGCAAGGUUUCCAGCAGGAUCACCUCAAAGCACCCCCAAGCUGUCUGCUGCCUGGAGACGGGCUGAGAUGGAAUCACAGAGCUCAUAAUGUCUCUGCAUGGACAAAGGGAGAUAAGUCACUGCAAUUUGCCAUUAGCCUAAAGCACGGCUACUUUCCAAGUGCACGCACAGAAGAUAAGGAAGACACUAGAGAUGAUAGCUGGAAGGCUUGGAUGGACAUCCGAGGGAGAUGCUGUGCAUAUCAGCAGCUUAAACAAGAGCAGAGAAUGCUGAUUCUUCCAGAAGAGCUCCUUCCAGUUCAGAUCCAUAAGCAAAGUAAGAAAGGAGAGAGGACUAGAAAUACAAAGCUAACAAAAACCUGCAUGGGAUUUCAUUAUUUCAUCUUUUCAAAGCACUACAUGAGCAUUCAUCCUCCCAGGGCCCUCAACAAGCCAGAUACCGUGCAAGUAAAAGGAGAACGUAAGCUGUUGUUUCCAAACUGCAAAGGGGAAAUGGAUCAGAAACCCUCCUGCACUUUGGGAGCGAAGCACCCAUUUAUAUUACUUGAAGGUGGAUAACAUCAUUACUCUGAGGUGAAGCAGUCUGAAAUUUGACAAAGGACCAGGCAGUAUGCUAGCCUGAAGGUCUCCACCUCUGUGUCACUGCUAUAUCAGAUUUCCAAAACCUAACUUCUGGGGUGACUUGACAGCGUUUGCUUCCCUUAAGGUUAGCAUAUAUUCUGUAAGAUUCUCUUGAGUUCCAGGUGAGAAUCAGAACAGCAAUGGCAAGGGUGAUUUCAGUGGGUGUAUGGGAACUGUUGAUCACUGCCUGAACCUCUAAUUGACCAUCUGAGGCAAGCAAUGAGUCAGCCUUGGGAGCACAGGUGAAGGCAAUUCAGCUGUGCUACCAAAAGGGGUGGAGCCUGGCCAGGCUCUCCUAGAUCCCAUUUAAGUGCCAACUGCCACUAAAGAAGGAUCUCUUUCUGGAAAUUGUUUCUUGUGGAGUUUAUUGGGAGCCUACAACAUUGCUCUUUUUGGAGAAAGAAUGCUGUGCGUAAGGAACGCCUUUGGAUUUUUCUCUGAUCUUUUAUGUAUGGGACACAUGGAGGAUCUGUAUUCAUUCAAUGUGUCCAGGGAAAGCAGCCUCCAGAGGAGCAGCCUGCUGAUGCCGCUGGCACUCCCUGCUGAGCAGGCGUCAGCAAUG